CCGGAACCUUCAGUGAGAUGGAACGAUAGGGAAAUGGCCGCUAGGCACCCCGAUUACAAAAAGCAAUCGGAAAGGAUAAGCUGGGGUUUACGAGGCAGCACACGCUGGUGCCACACGGGGAGGAGGUGGUCUGCUUCUAUGACAUGUGACAGGGUCAGAAUGGAAAGCGGCCCCCUGAACUCGCGGGAUCUUAGAUCCACUGAUUGCGGGGGUCCUGAUUUAACGUACUGGGGGGAUGCUUGGGUGCCCCGCAAUAAAAAAGUCUAUGAGACACCCUUGACCCUGGGGAAUUACCCCUAUCCGGACAGGGAUACUCCUUAUUUCUUCAGUGAAAUUACUGAGGGAAGGAUGAGUUACCUGAACCCCCAUCUUUACCUAAUGACGAGAGCAGAAGCAAGGAAAGUUAAUUUUACUGCACUCAGACAGGUGAGGGAGUUAGGCGAUGGAAUGGAGACAAUUAACAUCGGGAGUGACUACAUCUCGUUUUACCAGAAACGUUACCAAAAACAAAACAGAAAAAACAACAUCCUUGAAAAAAACAGAUGUGGGGAUAUGUCCAAAAUUCCUGCCGUGGCUCGGUUCCUGGCAUUAGGGUGGAGCAUGAGUGAUGAUAAAGACAUAGAAGAGAAACUUAGCAUUGAGGACGGGGAGGGAAGUGAUUCUUCUUCAGGAGAUGAAAAAGCUGGAGUUGGUUCCCCCGCUAAAAGACGAGGAGAGGAUGGAGAUGAUAUGGGUCCGGAGUGGAAAAAGGAGAGAAUGGCUCUGACUGAGGCCCUGUCUGUGUCACCUCCUCGUGCUGUCUCACAGUCUCCUGCGUGUAUGGAGAUGGAAUGGGAGAGAGAUGACAACACAGGAGAGAUCUUCUUUGCCGAAAGGGUGGCCAGAAUAUCCCCCUUCCCCACUGUGAUGAAAGUCGAGUCUGCUGAAGAAGUGGCUGACUGCUUUCCCCCGCUGGAAAAUGAAUCGGAUGAUGAUGGGGCGGAGCUGUUGGGUGCAGAGACAUUCGUGGGUGAAAGGGGGGGGGAGGCCCCCAAUGAAGGCAUAGAGACAGUGACACCUGCCCCGACUGAUGACAGUCUGGAAAGACUGGAGCGGGCGUUCUCGGUUCUCAGCGUCAUACUGGAAGACGUCAGGGGUGUCGUUAUGUCGGUUGUGAAGGAGGGUCUCACCCCGCCACAAGGGGCCUCGGAUGCCAGCAGGCUCUGAGAAGUAAUUCCGUAAGGGGUUGACACCCUAGACGGGGGUGGCUACUCUGGAAACACCCGGCGGGCGACAGCUCUGACCGAUGCCGGUCAUAUAUGCUCAUGAUGAUUAAUAAGGAGGAUGUUGUACGUUGUGUGUAUUAAUCAUUCAUUCAUUAUUUUGCAAAGAAGUGUUUAUUUAACCACUACAGCUAUAUGCCUG
rnacentral:lncRNA from 1 species